ACUACACUUGGUGAUCCUUAAACUUUAUUUUUGGUGAUGGAAUUUCAUCCUUGGGCAAUUUGAAGCAAGACGAGAGAUGAAAUUGAACCAUUAAUUCUCAAGACCCUCGCAUAGUCUCACUCAAAUUCUCAAUGAAAUGUUGAUGUUUUAUUUUAAAUGAUUUCCUUUUAAUGCUUUAUUAGAUUUUGGUGUUUCCUUUUGAACCUUUUAUUAGCACUUGACAUUUUGAAACAAAACUUAUAUGUUAUGGAAUGUUAUUGAAUUUUAAUGCAACUUUGUUCUAUGUUA